UUCCUUCCUUCUCUUUCUUUUCCUUCUCUUCUUCUUCUUCACUCUCUGAUUCCUUCUCACUCUCUUUUGAAUUUUUAUGAAGUCCUGAGAGAGAAGAAGAGAGAGGAGAACUAGUUUCUUUUGAAUUUGACUCCGUUUGCUGAAUAUGUUUUUUGUGUAUUAACAUUAAAGAAGAAGCA
rnacentral:ribozyme from 13 species